rnacentral:rRNA from 1 species
CGAACGGGGAGAUUCAUCGUCAGCGGACGCCGGCUUCGCGUCGGUCGGCGAUGUCCCGCGGGGGCCCUCGCGGCUCUCAGCGCGGGCACGCUGCCGUGCGCCGAUGUAUCCGGCUUCGCCGUCGUGCACUUCUCCCCUGGUAGAACGUCGCGACCCGCUGGGUGUCGGUCUACGGCCCGGGUGCGGUGCCUGACGCGCCGCCGGUAAAACGGCGCGCGUCAAACCCCCGGUCGCCCGGCCGGCUGCCCGGCGGUACGCGCAAGGUAUCAGGCCGCACACACAUUGGUGCGUCGAGGCCGUCGCAAGCGCGCGCCACGGUACACGGAGGUACGGACCUAGCGCCGUCACCGGUCCUGGCCCGCUGUUGGUCGUACGGUUAACCUUCGACAGGCCUACGAACGUCCCAGCGUGGGGGUGUCGGGGGCUCGUCUCCCGCGCGCUCUCGCGUUGGCGACCGAUACCGGUCAGCGACGCUACUGCUUUGGGUACUCUUAGGACCCGUCUUGAAAC